AUACGGAGGGUACGAACGUUAAUCGGAAUUACUGGGCGUAAAGCGCGCGUAGGUGGUUCGGUAAGUGGGAUGUGAAAGCCCCGGGCUCAACCCGGGAACUGCAUUCCAAACUGCCGGGCUAGAGUAUGGUAGAGGGAGGUAGAAUUUCCUGUGUAGCGGUGAAAUGCGUAGAUAUAGGAAGGAAUACCGGUGGCGAAGGCGGCCUCCUGGACCAAUACUGACACUGAGGUGCGAAAGCGUGGGGAGCAAACAGGAUUAGAAACCCGGGUAGUCC
rnacentral:rRNA from 1 species